rnacentral:rRNA from 1 species
CCUACGGGAGGCAGCAGUGAGGAAUAUUGGACAAUGGGCGCAAGCCUGAUCCAGCCAUGCCGCGUGCAGGAUGAAGCAUCUAUGGUGUGUAAACUGCUUUUGUACAGGAAGAAACCUCCCGACGUGUCGGGAAUUGACGGUACUGUAAGAAUAAGGAUCGGCUAACUCCGUGCCAGCAGCCGCGGUAAUACGGAGGAUCCAAGCGUUAUCCGGAAUCAUUGGGUUUAAAGGGUCCGUAGGCGGGCCAGUAAGUCAGUGGUGAAAUCUCUCCGCUCAACGGGGAAAUGGCCAUUGAUACUGCUGGUCUUGAAUUAUUAGGAAGUAACUAGAAUAUGUAGUGUAGCGGUGAAAUGCUUAGAGAUUACAUGGAAUACCAAUUGCGAAGGCAGGUUACUACUAAUGGAUUGACGCUGAUGGACGAAAGCGUGGGUAGCGAACAGGAUUAGAUACCCUGGUAGUCCACGCCGUAAACGAUGGAUACUAGCUGUUGGGGGCAACUUCAGUGGCUAAGCGAAAGUGAUAAGUAUCCCACCUGGGGAGUACGUUCGCAAGAAUGAAACUUAAAGGAAUUGACGG